GCCCCACGUCUCUGGGCACCUGCAGAUAUAGCCUGCCACAGUGUCACUGCAGUUUCCGCCAUGCAGGCAGGGAUCUGACAGGCAUUCAUCCACAUCUUCCUCACAUGUCGGCCCUUUGGGAGAGACCAAGCCAAGGCUCAGUGAUGUCUGGGGCCAGAACCACAGUAUUGACCCAGAACUUACAUGCCUCUUGUGAUGGGGACCUCAGUACCUAUCAACCAAACCAAUUCCCAAAGGAUUUCUCAUGGUCCUCUCAAGUCCCCUGUAGGCCAGAAGUCAAGAUGUCCCUUCCCUUCCCAUAUCUGGUGAGUCUCCAGGCCCUGUAGAUCUAAUCUCCUAAACAAUCUCCAAUGCCCCCUUUCUCCCACCCUCCAUCUCCUGCCUUACCAGCUCUCUGGGCGACCAUCCUGCAUGCUCCAGUUCACCAGCCUUCAGAAGCCCUUUCCCAUCCAUCUCCACCAAUAGCCAGAGGUCUAUUUCUAAAGCAUCACCUGGCCAGGUUCCUCUGCUGCUUCAGGUCUACCCUGACAUUUAAGACACCCUCAUGGGAUGGGUCCUACCAGGCUCUCAAGCCUCAAUCCUGCUUCCCACAAACCUCGAACCUCCCAUUCCUCCAAGCAUUUCCUGGAAGGUCCCGACUCUGGGGCUUUGCUCAUACUGUUCUACCUGUGGAAUGCCUCAUUCUCCCUUACCCUUCCUUUCAAACUGCUACUCAUCCUGCAAAGCCCAAACUCAAAGAGCCCAGAGGCUUUCCCUAACUCCCAACCUCAAACUACUGUAUCACUCUCCAGUCAUAGGCACAGCUCCGCAGAACCCCGCAUUAAACGUAUUUGUUUACUCAG